CAUGCAUUUACAUGACUAUUUAUUAACACAUUUACUAAGGGACAGUACUACAGGGUAUUAGAAUGACAUUACAUUUUUCUGUGUUAGGGAGGAGUAAACCACCAGCAACACUCUCAAAACCAGACCGGCCUGAUGAAUAUAGUGCUACUGCAUCUCCACGGCCAGUGAGGGUUCCUUUGCCAGUACCUCCAGAGUUGCUUGAAUUAUCUACAAGCAAGACCACAUCGCCUUUGAGACCAGUGCAGGAAACUGUGUUCUGUCAGUCCCUCCUCCCAGUGACCUCUGCACAGUCUACAGCCUCUACUCCUCCCUCAGGACCCCCCGCAGUUGCUGGCCAGUCUUUCUCUGGAUUCCCUGCAGCCACUACUGGGUACCCCUCAACUCAGUUGGAGGAGAAGCAUGCUGUUCCACCACUGCCAAGCUAUGAGCAGGAUGUGAUAAGAUGGCACUGCUCUCAAAAGCAGAGAAUCUGGAUGAAAACAGAUAUGGAAGCCUUGGGACUGUGGCCAGGUUCUAGACCAGUGAGACAUCCAAUGAACAUGAUCUCCUUGUGGCGUUACCCACCUCAGCCUGAGCUUAUUGAUGUGGUCUAUGAGCUGCCAUCACCUAAAUACUUUCAACUUCAUCCAUUCUUCAUUUGGAAACCAGAGCACACCAUUAUGGAAAGAGUCCGCAACAACUACACUCUUCCAUGUCUGUACGGC
rnacentral:lncRNA from 1 species